ACAAUUAACAAUUCAUCGCAAUAUUUUGUAUGGAAGACUAGUGAUUUUGUUGUUUUGCUUACGAUAAUAACAAUAAAUCUCAAGUCUUUCUACAAAGUUUGCUGCUUUCUUCAAAUAACACA
rnacentral:pre_miRNA from 11 species